CACUGACAGUUCCGAUGACUUGUUGAUUCAGGUGUUUGUCUGAAUACUUACAUCUUAAAAUUCAUUUGGUUUACAAACAAAAUUCACAUUACGCUUUGUUGUUGUUAAACGAUGAACUCCCGAAUGUUUUACGGCAUGAGCGUUUCUGUAACUUAUUGUAUGUCCCUCUAUUAUAUUUUCUUGUGGGAAGUAUGCUAAUACUGUGGUGAUGGCGGUUGUAACCACAGAACACUGGAGGCCGGCAUUCUUCACGCACCUACUGUGUUGUGUAAGCAAGACGCGCUCCCUGCACACAGGUGUUGGCAGCAGCUGCACUCGGCUGCACGCGCCAUGACGUGUGGCGGAGCCAAAAGCCAUGUUUGCCAACAGCGGCUGCUCCCGCGCCAUCCCCCGUCCCCUGAGCUCCCCCUCCCUCCAGCAUCCCAAAGGGAAGCAGGCGCAAGCGGAGCGUACGCCAAGCUAGCGACGGGAGGAGGGUCACAACCCCGCGUGCUGGCGUGCCCCGACAGACGAGGCCAGCAUGCGCCGACGCCGGCAAAGCCAGUUUGAUAUCAAGCCGCAAAGGAUUGUUAGUUGUUUGCCUGCACCCUUCGAUCCGUCAGCCUUCGAAAGGAGACGUGGCCUCGCAGCCCGACCCGCACACCUCUCCGAGUGGUUGCCUGUGACGAGUGCGUGACAGCCCGUGACGUGCGAGAGAGUGACCAGUGCUCGUUAGGUGACACGGUGCUCGUGACGUCACGGCACGACCACGUGCUGCUAGGAAUCGGAUAUAUUGGGACUUGCCCUGCCCACCUACAGACUUUGUCACAAAAAACGAGGAACAAAUGUGGCGAUGGAAAGAUAGUAGAAGUGGGGAGGGACAGCAGGACUCCCUCCACACCUGACACGCAACGACGGUUGUUUUCGUUCUCAACCGACCAGAGUGGAUUAUCACGCAAACCUCAAACAUUAACCAGGUGACGAUUCUAGGUGUCCGUCAGCGGAUACUUUGUUUGGGGCAGUCAAUGGAUUAGCAUCUCUUUGCAUGCCGACGCUGAUGAUGACAACGACGACGACGACAAUGUGGCCAGCAGCGACCCGCGAACGCUGGUGAUCCCACGAGCACUGUCCUCUGGAGGCCUCAUGCAUCCUGCCUGAACAAGCCUGACGAGCUACUUGGCGCUACCGCUCGCCUUCCAAGCCCCAUGGAGUCCGAGGGGUUUGCCAGCAUGGCAGCCUUCCCAUUCGUGGGGCUUCUCCUGGUGGGCACCGGCGUCGUGCUGCUGUUUCACUGCAGCUCCAUCUCUCACCGCAAGAAGCGUCAACGAGUGGAGGACGGGCAUGGCCGCGGCCGGGAGCGCCAUCUGGUCAACAAAAUGCGGGGUCGGUGCUGUGACAUGGAAGACUAUAGUUCCCAUCACCUCCCUUUAGUCAUCGUCACACCGCCCUCGCCUGUCGUCUCAUCGCGCAACGACGGCGACUCCAUCGGCUCCACCAGCGACCUCAUCAACGGUAUUGAGAUCCACAGCAAGGCGGACUACGACAGCAAGACGGACUCCCCCCGCCCGUCGACACCUCGCCCCCUCCAGUAACACUGCCAGCCGCCAUCGCAGUUUUCCGUUGGAACUAUCGAUUGAGGUAAUUACAGGUGCUUGGAAUUCACGGAGCGAAGUGAUUUCUCCACCGGAAGUGCCGCUUGUGACAAGCAUGAAAAACACGCUGAAGACGGCGAUUUUAUGCACAUUGGGAGACGGUGAGAGGAUGUGCAGAGGGUGACAACAGCCUCCUUUGUACUCUACGAGGUCACAGACUUCCAGAAGAAUUUUGGGCUGAUUUUCCGCAGUUUAUUGCAUUUGUGUGUGAUCACGAGGGUUUCCGACUGUGCUGUUUGUUUACGCUCUUAUGGCUUGUUGACAACAUGAGACCAUUAUUUAUUCAUCUUUCAUGUGUUUAUGCAAUCCUUUUUUCUCGUUAACUCAUUAUUAAUUUUUGUGGUUAGCAAUCAAUCUGUUUAUUUUCCACUUUAUGCCGAUGUCUGUAUUUUAGUCCACGAUCUGUCCAUCGGAACUGGAGUCUCCCCACCCCGACCGUCCAGAGACGUUAUCCUUCCGUUUGUCUGUAUUCCUACCUUCCUUCAAGAUAUUUUUUACUACCUCUCUACUUCAUAUAUCUUACUACGUCUAUCGGCUGCGUGGUUGUAUUUUAGGUGGAUAAAAUGCCGGGUAUCAAGCAUUGCAUUCUGUCUUUAAAUACUACCCAAGCUCUGUAUUCCGCUUACAUAUCCGCAUCCUGUUAUCUUCAGCGAUGGAAAGGUGUAUCGCGGGAAAUACCUGGGUCUGACCCACACCAAUCUCCAUCAGGGAUGGAAGGUACAAAUCCUCCAUCACGCAGGCUGACCGAUGAAUGAAGAUGACCAUGCAGUCAUGUGAGGAGGGUUUAAAUAACGGCAAUAACGGUGGCUGCGUCACAAUGCCGAGUCUCGUGCGGCGACAGGCUUGGGAUCGUCGUCUUGCAGGUGAAGCAUGGCACUCGAUGGAGGGACUUUCAAGUUCCGUCGCUCACGCGCCUGAAACAGUGCCUUACGCUAGGAGAUGGACUGGGAAACAUCAUUCCGAAAAACGCAGUAUUCUUGCCGACGAUAAUCUCGAGAUAAUAAGCGAUGAUAAACGCGUAGCUGGCGUGGAGGGCAUUGGCUGCGGCUGAUCCGGUUAGUGCCCUGAUGGUGCGGUGCGUGGAGCACCCUCCGUCUGACAUUGUUACGUAAACUAAUUUGCUUGAACAUAGUGCCUUCCCUUAUCUUGUUACUCGCCAUUCCUUGCGCCAGAUAGAUGCUUGUUACUAUAUUUAGGUCAGCCUGGCAUAGGUUGUCCGUUACUGCCAACCAGGCACGUAGAGGUCGCACCUUGUGGGCUUGUUCACCGUGUCCCAGUCAUCCCUUGCUUCUUUUAACCACUUAUCUCCACCGAUGAGUUCAACCGACUCGCUUCAUUUCAUGUCCGGUGAUGUUGAGUAGUUCCGUAACGACUGUGCGGCCCUCCACAGAACUCGGUUACUGGAUAAUGGUCAGUUGUCACGAUCACUUUCGAAAGUGUACCCAACCCUCUUCUUCCUCCCUGGAGAUGUCAACUUUAUUGUGAACAAUGGCAGUUCCGCAGAACUAUGUUAACCAACAUAUCAAAUCACUAAAAAUGUCUCAGACAUGUAAACUGAAGAGUUUGCUGGUUUUUUUAACAGGUUGGUUUUUAAUUUUAAAAAGUCUUGAUUAUUGCUUUUUAUUUUCUUGAUACGUUUGAAGUCUGUGCAGGUCGGCUUUCACCUUUGACAUGACAAGACGCCAAUGACAGUGUCACUGAACCCGACAUAAACCUGGCUGGAGAUGCCGAAAGGUAGAACUUACACUACCCAGGGUAUUAAUGGCUACACACGCUCACCGCGAGUACUUCACACUUGAGGAAAAAAGUUAACUUUGAAAUUACAGUUUGUUUUGAUGCCUCUCCCAGACUGCGAACCUCAAACGAUCAUAUUAAUAAUAAAAAUUAUUUUUGGACAG